GUUCAUCUGAGACCCGAUCGGUAAUGUGAAUAAAGGCCUCUUACUUCCUGAAGACUUGUGUCCAUAUCUCUGUGUUUGACUUCUGCAUGCAUUACACUGCAACAAUUUCCUCUUUCUUUGGUCAGAGUAGCACUGUCUCCUACUCUCUGUGGGUUACUGUGGUUUAAUCGUUUAUCACUUUAAUUAUUUAUUUAUCAUUAUUUAUUAUUUUAUUUUAUUGUUGUUUUACUUAAUGUGGGAUUUUUAAUGGGUUACAGGUAUUGAUUUAUAUUUUCCUGUCAGCUUCCCUUUUUUUCUACUAUUUCCUAUUUCAUUUAUAUAUAUUAUUCUUAGGAGUUUAAGCAUGCAUGGGAUAGGCAUAAGGCUGUCCUAACUAUAAGAUAAGGCCAGGGGCUAAUGAAAGUAUUUAGAAAAUUGGGCAGACUAGAUGGGCCGAAUGGUUCUUAUCUGCCGUCACAUUCUAUGUUUCUAUGUUUCUAUUCUUCAUUCUAUAUUUUUCUUCAUAACUGUCCAGAUGUUACAUAUUGAUCUGAUUAUUGUGUUUCCUUUAAUUGGGGUUUAGCUGUAUUCAUAUAUUUUUAAUUGUAUUUCUCUCCAGCUUCCAUUUAUUUCCUAAUUUUCUAUACCCUAGAUAUCUUUUUUACUCUCUUUUCUCCUUUCUUCUUACUUAUAUUGUUUUUUCUAUUUCCAUACAUAUAUUACUGUGUUUUACUUUUGUUUUAUUUUCUUAAUUUUACCCAGGUUGCGGCUGGCACUCUCUGCCCAGUUUUUCCCGGGCUUUCUUGGGCCUCGGGGAAUGCCUCCGACGGCCCCUUAGUGCGCACGGCGGCCAUCUUGGACCUCGCGCAUUACCGCGAGAUCCGGACAGCCAUUUCCUCUCUCGUGCGCAUGCGUAAGAUCGAGGUGGCCUUUUUCUACUAAUUUUGAGUGGUGGGCAAUAGACAGAAUAGACAGGUUUUUUAUUAAGGGGUGCCCUCGAAGGCACAUGAGAUAAGAAUCUUUUCCCUAAGAACUACAGACCAGCUAAAAGAUAAGCAUUAGCUUACUGAUCUAAGUACCUUGUGUUGCUUAUUUCAAUGUGAACUAUACAAUAGAAGCUCAGAAAUACAGCAGGUCUGUUCUAUAGAAUAAAACACGUUUUUUCUUUCACUGAUACAUUUUUUCUGAUCUGUCUGCACUAUUCUAUGCAAGAGAUUCAGGUCUAUUUAGAACCAACCUGACAGAUACUUUAUAAAUCAAAGACUGCUACUUUGUAACUAUUUAAUACACAGCAGAGAAAUGUAUCCAUAUUAACAGCACCAAGAUAAGUCUAUCUGCCUUUUGUAACUGCUAAACAAAACAGUAUAAGGAUCGCAUCCUUAGUUAAACUCAGUAUUAAUUGGAACUGCUUUAUAUAACUAAGGGUGACACCUCAGGACUGAUUAUCUUGUGCAGUAAUUUUGAUUGAUAUUGGUUAAAUAUACUCUACUUUGUAAAUAGGAUCUGUACUGGUAUCUUACAGACAGCUUUGUGACUACUGAUCCUAUUUUAACAUUGCUUGUCACACUUGUUUUAUUUUAUGUAUUAACAUAUUAAAAGUUAAGUUUUAUCAAUAGACAUCAUAGAGACUUCAUUUCGAUAAAUUUUUUUACUAACCUAUGGUGACACCUACUGGUAGUUUUUUGUUACUACAUAUUUUUUAUUUUUAUUUUAUUUCCAAUUCUUUUGCUGUUUCAGACCUUUUCCUCGAGAAACUACAAUGGACCCCACACUAGAAGAUACGAUCUACGGACCAUGACCUGUAGGAGAGGCAGAAACCUUCCUGGACACACUAGGUCAACCACUAUUUGACCUGCGUCACAUCAGAUACACCCAAUCAUCAGUGGUCUCUUCCAGACCAUCUCACCCAGUACAUCCACUUCUGGAUUAGAAGGCCCCGGGGUGGAUCAGGGUGUCUGCAAGUGUUUGAAAGCAGAAUGUCCCAGGCCUACCCUGCCGGACAAGGUUCUAGAUGACCCCGGAAUUUGAUAUGCUGCUUUACACAUAUUUGGCCAGGACUGGCCGUGACCCUAGAAAGGUCAUUGAGCACAGCUUAUGUCUCACCCAAGACAAGCUGCUUGACAUUUUUGGACCCCUAGCAAAGAUAAAAUUGUUGGCUGACGAGGCUCUCUCAGGAGGGACCACUGGACCCAUCUGUAAUCAGAGAAUGGGUGCUACGCUCCAUAUGCCUGCUGGGCAGUGCAAACACAUCCCUCUGUACGAAGGAAAGCAGUGCUGCUGCACAUGGAUGCCAAACUCUCUGAUUUGGGGUCCAAGGAAAUAGGCCCCGAGGCCAAGGGUCGUCUGUUCGGAGAACCCUAUAUCAAGGAACUACACAAACAAGUAAAUUUGUACGCCACACUGAACAAGGUGCAGACAUCUAUGAGAGGAGUGUUCCAUUAACAACCCACUUGGGUUUUUGGCAGGGCUGGCCGUACAAGGGGUCGUAUAGCCAGCCGUUUCUGGUCAACAGGUCAACGCCAACUAUCCCACACAUCAUUCUUCCCGAAUUAUCAAACAAGGGGCUCCUACAACCAAAGGUCUGAUAGAGGAAAAGGAAGCAGAGCUCGAGGACACAACAGAUAUCCAACAGGGGAGAUUUACCCCCUUUUACCUUUCUACCCUAUGUCAUGCGGGCAGGUUGUUGCAAGUGGAAGACUCUGUCUUCAGAUACCUGGAUUCUGGACAAGGUUCAGGGUUACUCCAUAGAGUUCUAUUACCCUAUCAUUCAGACAAGUCACCCCUAUUGCCUGGUCAUGUCAAAAUCA
rnacentral:lncRNA from 1 species